rnacentral:lncRNA from 1 species
UUUUAAUGUUUUUAUGUAAGAGAGGUGGGUUGUGGUGAACAGGAAAGAGGGACACAGAUACCUGCCAGUGCAGUCAGGCAGUAAAACUUGAUGGAUAGCCAUUCUGUAGAAAGUAAUUUUUCCUCUGCUGUCAUUCCAUAGCAAUUAACACAGAAGACUUCUUGUGAUCAAAUCAAAUGUGUGUAGGGUUUUUCCCCACACAUAGAACAGGUAAACACAGUAUAACAGACAAACACAGUACUCCAGUGAAUACCAUCUGUCUGUCCUCCAGUUCAUUUCAUUUCUGACACUUAUCUACCUGGAGAUAACAUCAGAUCCCAAAGGUCUAGGGCUUUGUCCUGGAGGCUGCCCCUCCCACAUGCCUAGCACAAGUCCCAGGUGGUUUUUUCUAUUCUUUUUUGAUAGACUGCUCUAAACAGGACUGCUUCAACUCCAUCUUUGAGUUCCAUUAAUUUGCCAGACUAGCUCACAGGACUCUGAGUAACAGUUACGUUUACUGGUUUAUUAUAAAGGAUAAUAAAAAGGUGGCGAGGUAACUAGGGCAAGGUAUAGGAGAAGGGGCUAAGAGGUUCCAUGGGGCAUACUACACCCUCCAGGAACCUCUGAGUGUUCGCCUAUCUGGAAGUACUCUGAACGCUGUCCCUUUGUGUUUUUAGGGAGGCUUCAUUACAUAGACCUGAUUAAUUAAAACAUUGGUCAUUUAAGGUUAAAUCAACUUAACCUUCAGCCCCUCCCCUUCCUAGAAGUUGUAAAUAAGGGGUAAAGUCCCAAGCCUCUAAUCCUGCCCUUAUCUUUCUGGUGGCCAGCCCUCAUCCAGAGUCUACAAGGGGGCUGCUUGCCUUCAGUAAACUUAUUAGCAUAUAGAACCACACUUAUCACUUUGAAGAUUCCAAGGAUUUUAGGAGUUAUAUGCCAGGAAACAGGGAUGAAAACCAAAUUGUAUUUCAUGGUAUUAGAGUCAACUAUCUGUUUAUUUAUAUGCAUUCUGUUAGAAAUAAGCUUUAGAAACUGGUACUCUUUUCCAUUUAAUGACUACUAUGCAGUAAGUG